rnacentral:sRNA from 12 species
UCUUUGUGUUCGAACGGUCACCGUAGGGUGUGCCUGCCUUUUGAAUCAAUCUCCUUAGGCUAGAACACAAAGCACUA